CAACUUGCAUCAGCUGAUGCAUUCCAUUAAGAUUACAUCACGGCUUGACUUCUUCCUCUGCCCAAUUCUUCCCUAACCUCACAAAUGAUGAUCCUAAGAGCAUUUCCAAAUUAAUCUGCACACCAAUCAUGAUCACAGAAUACUGAAGAUGGAAGAGACUUCAAGAUCAUCUAAUUCAGGGGGUGAAGAUUUUGAAAAAGUCCCUCAAAAGGAAUCUAGAAUGAGAAAAUCAUCAUUUUGCAACCUGUAAUGAAAGCACUGACUCAGGCAGUACUCAUCAGUAGAUAAAAACUAUUAGUGGAAAAGUUGAUCAGUAACUUUACAAUGGAAGAAGUGGGUUCUCACCAUCUGAACCCAGAUCAAUCCUUGUAUCAUUAAAAGUGGA